rnacentral:rRNA from 1 species
AACGAACGCUGGCGGCAUGCCUAAUACAUGCAAGUCGAACGAUCACUUCGGUGGUAGUGGCGCACGGGUGCGUAACGCGUGGGAAUCUGCCCUUGGGUUCGGAAUAACGUCGGGAAACUGACGCUAAUACCGGAUGAUGACGUAAGUCCAAAGAUUUAUCGCCCAGGGAUGAGCCCGCGUAGGAUUAGCUAGUUGGUGGGGUAAAGGCCUACCAAGGCGACGAUCCUUAGCUGGUCUGAGAGGAUGAUCAGCCACACUGGGACUGAGACACGGCCCGGACCCCGACGGGAGGAAGCAGUAGGGAAUAUUGGACAAUGGGGGCAACCUUGAUCCAGCAAUGCCGCGGGAGUGAUGAGGGCCUGAGGGUUGAAAAGCUCUUUUACCCGGGAUGAUAAGGCCAGUACCGGGAGAAUAAGCCCCGGCUAACUCCGUGCCAGCAGCCGCCGUAA